GAGCCGAGUUAUAAAAAGAAGGUGUCGGAAACUGUAACGUCGCAGCGCCGCAUCGGUACUACUGCCUGUCCGACCCUCAUAUUCUACCUGGAUGUGUGUAUGGAUGUAGAGGAGAAAAUGGAGGAUCUGGACAAAGUGAGCAGAGCAAAGAUCUAGCUUCUGGGCCUGUCCCCUCCAAGCUGCUGUCCUCACCUCUGGGGUCGGCUGGGUGUGGAGCUGCGGCACGCCAAGGAGAGAGGGAGAGGAAAUUUUGCGGGGUUCUGAAUCGAAAAUGUCCACGUCUUGCUAAUGGCCUGCAAACUUCCGCCAAUUAUGACUGACCUCCCAGACUCAGCCCCAGGAGGCUCGUAUUAUGCAGGGAGGCCGCCGUAAUUCUGGGAUCAAAAGCUGGAAGGCUCAACAAAAGACACAGGGGAGACGUCGAAUGAACCUGGCCCUCAUCGGAGUCCAGGGAAAGAAUACUUUAAGGGUGGGAGAAGGGAGAACAAAUUCCAGAAAGAACCCAGGGAUCUUCUGGCAUCUCCGAAUUGCAAAAGAAGUUUUUCACGCAUCUGUACACCUAGAAUUAAAAUACGUAUAUAAAUUAAUUUCUA